AUUAGAUGAGCCUAUAUUAGAUUAGCUAGUUGGUGGAGUAAUAGCCUACCAAGGCAAUGAUCUAUAGCUGAUCUGAGAGGAUGAUCAGCCACACUGGAACUGAGAUACGGUCCAGACUCCUACGGGAGGCAGCAGUGGGGAAUAUUGGACAAUGGGCGAAAGCCUGAUCCAGCCAUGCCGCAUGAGUGAAGAAGGCCUUUGGGUUGUAAAGCUCUUUUAGUGCGGAAGAUAAUGACGGUAAUCACAGAAGAAGUCCUGGGUAACUCCGUGCCAGCAGCCGCGGUAAUACGGAGAGGGCUAGCGUUAUUCGGAAUUAUUGGGCGUAAAGGGCGCGUAGGCUGAUUAAUAAGUUAAAAGUGAAAUCCCGAGGCUUAACCUUGGAAUUGCUUUUAAAACUAUUAAUCUAGAGAUUGAAAGAGGAUAGAGGAAUUCCUGAUGUAGAGGUAAAAUUCGUAAAUAUUAGGAGGAACACCAGUGGCGAAGGCGUCUAUCUGGUUCAAAUCUGACGCUGAAGCGCGAAGGCGUGGGGAGCAAACAGGAUUAGAUACCCUGGUAGUCCACGCUGUAAACGAUGAAUGUUAAAUAUGGGAAGUUUA
rnacentral:rRNA from 1 species